rnacentral:rRNA from 1 species
AUGGAGUGUCCUUUGCCAUUUGGGGGAAAGGUUGUCGUCUUUGGUGGGGAUUUUCGGCAAGUCCUUCCUGUUGUCACACGUGGGACAAGAGCACAGAUCACGGAUGCUACACUCCUGAGAUCCUAUUUGUGGGAGAAGACCCGCAAGAUACACCUCACGCGCAAUAUGCGGGCACAGGCUGAUCCUUGGUUCUCUGAAUACCUCCUAAGGAUCGGUAAUGGAACAGAAGAGACAAUAGGCGACGACUAUGUGCGUCUCCCUGACAACAUUGUGAUUGGCUAUACCGAUGAUGAAAAAGCUAUUAACAAGCUCACUGAAGAUGUAUUUCCAUCGCUGCAUGCUAAUGCUAGAUCAAGAGAGUACAUGAGCGCACGUGCAAUUCUAUCGACCAAGAACGAUCAUGUGGAUGACCUCAAUGACAAGAUGAUCUCUAGGUUUCCAGGCGAAGAAAAGUUAUACCAUAGCUUUGACUCAAUCGAGGAUGACUUGCAGAAUAAUUACACAAUUGAUUUUCUGAACUCGAUCACACCAAAUGGUUUGCCACCGCAUGUUUUGAGAUUAAAGGUCAACUGUCCAGUCAUUCUGCUCCGGAACCUCGACCCUCAUAAUGGUCUAUGCAACGGAACACGGCUUAUGAUUAGAGACUUCCAGGAUAAUGCAAUUGAUGCGGAGAUUGUUGGUGGUCAGCAUGCUGGAAAGAGGGUGUUCAUACCUAGGAUCCCUAUGUCGCCCUCAGAGGACAGCUCGCUUCCCUUCAAACUUAAGAGAAAGCAGUUCCCCAUCCGCCUGAGUUUUGCGAUGACAAUUAACAAGGCACAGGGUCAGACCAUCCCAAACGUCGGUAUUUACCUUCCCGAGCCUGUAUUCUCACAUGGUCAACUAUAUGUUGCAUUGUCGAGGGGAGUGUCAAGAGAGACGACACGGAUUUUGGCCAAGCCAAACAAGGAGGUUGACAAAUCCGGGAAAAGUACCAAGAACAUUGUCUACAGAGAUGUUUUAGAGAGAUGA